GCCAAUCAGAGGCCGCCAAACAAACGUCUCGUAGGCACAAGAAUCUACCUUAAGUGAAUGAACUUAAUUACCUAUAUUGUUAUUGACAGCAUUGUGCUAUAGAACUUUGGACGAUAUUUCAGAAGGGUCAUUUGUUUAAGUUUGAGUGCUUCUCGGGGAGGACCAGGUGGUCGUUCCACUUGGGCUUCAUAUACACCCAGCCAGUUAGAUAACAGUUUAGUUGCUAAUUUAAACAAGUUGUGGUCAGAACGUAUCGAGAUAUUUGCACCAGUUGAGUUCACCAGAGUCUCAAUUUUGACAGGAAUCGUAAAAAUAAGUUUGAAGACAUUGAUGGAGAGUGUCCGGCUACGCACAUUUAGCAGGUUUGGUCUUCAGCAAGUUCAAGUUGAUGCUCAUUACCUAAGGACUUACCUAUGGAAAUUUGUGGCUGAUGAACAUGUUCUAAAUGUGCUUUUGGAUGAAGUUGUGACAUCAGCAAGUGUUCGGUGCUGUGAUCCAGAGCUGAUGGAACAGAAGGUUGUCGAGUUCAUCUGCGAACAGAGCUGAUAUGUUUUUCACUAGUACUUGAAACUAUGUGAAAAAUGUAAAAAGACCUUUUCAUUCUUUAAAGCUCCAGAGAGUGUAUAAAAGAAACGAAAGAAGUUGGAGCUUAGGCCCUUACUUUAAUAUCUUUGUGUUAGUUUUUAUUUAGUCAUUUAUUGCACUUAAUAUGAGAUUGCUGUUAAGGACAAGAGUUAGGUUAACAAAUGUUUACAGUACUAGUGAAUUAAUGGUAAUCCACAAAAUUGAAAUAUUUCAGUGUAUUUUAAGUAUACUUUUUAUCAUUAAUUUUGUUAGUAUAGUUACUAAAUGAUCUAUUAUAGAGAGAGUGCUCAAGACUUUAUUUAUGACAGAUUUAUCACAUCUCUCCAAAUCCAGACAUGUCAGCUAUAUAUAAAAUUAUGAAAGUUUAGAACAGUUGUUCAGCUUUUAAAAACUACUUUUGAAAAAUACUUACUGAUGAAACGAUUUCUUUUGUUAUCAUCAUCAAUCAUGUGUAGCCCUUACUCUUAAUCUUAAUGUCCCCAGGAUCUUUAAGCAAAGGUUCAUACAUGUGCAUCAUAGACAUGUUGGUUAGAGGUAACUGUAUUCUGCAAUGUGUAAGCUGGAUGUGAAACUGUAUUCUGAAAGGGAUAAAUAGUGGGUACUUCCAAUAUGAUUGAUGAUCCCAAGAGCCAUACCACGUUGAAAGCACUGCUUCUUGUCCGUCCAAUAUGAUUGAUGGGUUUAUGAAAAAAUGUUUUACACAAUACACAUUUUGUUUCUCCUAAAAACAAUCAGUCAUAUAAGGUCUGAGUUGCAGUGAAGAAAGCGGUCAGGAAGUUGUGAGUCCAAAGUUUAUGCAAAGGUCUGAUGGAUGCCAUGGAGCAUUUGGUAACUGUAUGAGUCAGAAACCAAGGCUCAAGGAAUUCUCAAUGGGUACUAUGAGUGGGCGAACAGUUGAGACUAAGGCAAGAAGAUUUUGCUUGGUGAAAUUUCAAAAAGCAGCAGAUAUUAUUUAACCAUUCGGGAGAGAUGCAGGAGUUCAUAACACAAAACGACUAAGUCUUUUGAAGGUGAAUGAAGUAUGAAUAAAGAUGGUUUAAAAAGGAACAAAACUGUACUACAGCAUCUACUCUUGGUAAUAUUUGUCCUACAACUAGCUCUCCCAACAAGUCCAACCCUAUCCCAUUGUGUAUAAAAUCUCCUAAUGGAAACCAGGCAAAUUUAAAAUGUCACCUCAGAUAUUCCUCUUAAGGACUAAGAAAAUUGUGGGGGGGGGGGGGGCGGCUGAUCUCAUGAACAGUCACCCUUAGGCUAAGGCCCCACCGAAUCCGUCACGGCGCGUCGCAUGCGUCCAACACGGCUAAGCUUUUGGUGCGUUUCGAUCAACUGUCAUAGUUCAAAUACGAGUGGCCCCACACGGCGCAUGAGCGUGCGUGGCGUCAAGUGCGUUGCCAGACUGGACCCACAAGGAACAAAACUUUUUGUUUUUAGCCGCACGUGGACGUGCGUCUCCGAGCUGGGGUCCACAUGAAAGAAGAAAUUGAGGUAGACCUACAAUAACCUGCAUUUGAACCACCUGCCCAACUUUGAGUUAUAAUCAAAUGUGAUGAUUUGUGGUUAUGAUAAAGGAUUCAUGUAGUUUUUUUUAUUAUAUUCUAAUGGAUACAUUUAUGCAAAUACCUUUGUUUCAAAAGUUACUAUCAAAGUGUUCAGUUUACACACACACACAAUCUACGUAUCUUAAUUUCUGUAUUAAAUAAAAUACAGUACAACUUAACAAAUUUCGAAAUCAGUAAUCCUUCCCUCAGAGUUGCUACAAGUUUCUUACGUUGAUACUAAUCUUCUGUGAUUGAUAUUCGUGAAUUAAGUCAAAGGUUUUCGGUGGCAUCUGACAAUAUUAAAAAAAAAACUUGUCUGGACACUGUCGUAACUUAUGAAAGUGCUGCAUACUCUCCACCCUUUCCUCGUUCUCAAUUUAUGUCAUGAGUUCAGAUUUCCCUCCUGUUCAACGCCUCUAAUUUGGUUGACAGCAACAACUCAGAACAAAAAGUCAUGUGUUCCCUUCAUGAUGGGAAGUGCUGCUGAAGUUAGAACUGUCCGUUUUGUAACCGUCACUCGUUGUCUGGUUGGGCCACUCCCGCAGAAGACGGACACGCUCAUAGACGGAUACCUGUGUUGGACACACGCGACGCGCCACGACGGAUUCGGUGGGGCCUUAGCCUUACUCAACUAACUUCAUCCAGAGGGGCUUAAACUUCUGAAAAGCAAGGAAAAUUCACAUAGAUAUCAAUUACAGGCAGCAAAGCCACACAACUAAUAAUUGGUAAAAAUACAAUUAUAAAUAAACUGCAUUAAUAUAUAAAAAUACUGAUAUUUAUAUAAAGUAAAAUUCCCAACAUCAGUACCUCGCGCAAAUAAGGUUAUAAAAGAAACUUAACCUCUUGCUGUUAACUGGAGUCCAACUCAUUAGUUGGUUUGUCUUCCAGAAAACACCAGUUAUAUCAAAAUUAAGGGAAAACAGCAAAAUAUAGACCAGAGAUACAGGAAUUCAACUAAAAAUUUGUAAGCAACGGUGUUUAAUAAUAAGCUUUUUUGAAAAAGGUGUGAAGGACCAAGGUUACUUUUAUUUUGAUAUUCUGUUUCUGUAUGAAAGACAAAGUACAGAACAUGUCUGUCGAUACUCAGACAUUGGUGGGUGUGUGAUGAAAUAAAAAAAAUUGGUUUGCGUGUGUAAAUAAGCAGAGUUUGCAAAAUUUUAUGGAAAUUCAGGCCUUCAUAGAAAUAUUACCAGUAUGCACCCUGUAAAUGCAAAUUUUUAUUUUAGUUUCUUGUUACUUUAAAGAGUUAUAAGAGGAGUUGUAUAUCAAGAUGUGGGAAUCAAAAUAAGGGCCCUCUUUAUCUGAAUAAUCAUUCCAUAAUGUACAGUAGUAGGUAUAUAUACUUUUGUAAGUUGUAUUGGUUUUUGAACAUCUGGAAUUUUUGUCUUUAAGAUUUAAAUAAAUUUUUGGUGGGGU